rnacentral:rRNA from 1 species
GACGAACGCUGGCGGCGUGCCUAAUACAUGCAAGUCGAGCGGAGCGGCGGACGGGUGAGUAAUGCCUAGGAAUCUGCCUGGUAGUGGGGGAUAACGUCCGGAAACGGGCGCUAAUACCGCAUACUAUCAGAUGAGUCUAGGUCGGAUUAGCUAGUUGGUGGGGUAAAGGCCUACCAAGGCGACGAUCCGUAACUGGUCUGAGAGGCGGAUCAGUCACACUGGAACGUGGACACGGUCCAGACUCCUACGGUAGGCAGCAGUGGGGAAGAUUGGACAAUGGGCGAAAGCCUGAUCCAGCGAUGCCGCGUGUGUGAAGAAGGUCUUCGGAUUGUAAAGCACUUUAAGUUGGGAGGCGUUACCAACAGAAUAAGCACCGGCUAACUUCGUGCCAGCAGCCGCGGUAAUAC